rnacentral:rRNA from 1 species
AGAGUUUGAUCCUGGCUCAGGAUGAACGCUAGCUACAGGCUUAACACAUGCAAGUCGAGGGGCAUCGGGAAGAAAGCUUGCUUUCUUUGCCGGCGACCGGCGCACGGGUGAGUAACACGUAUCCAACCUGCCCUUUACUCGGGGAUAGCCUUUCGAAAGAAAGAUUAAUACCCGAUGGCAUAAUGAUUCCGCAUGGUUUCAUUAUUAAAGGAUUCCGGUAAAGGAUGGGGAUGCGUUCCAUUAGGUUGUUGGUGAGGUAACGGCCCACCAAGCCUUCGAUGGAUAGGGGUUCUGAGAGGAAGGUCCCCCACAUUGGAACUGAGACACGGUCCAAACUCCUACGGGAGGCAGCAGUGAGGAAUAUUGGUCAAUGGGCGCUAGCCUGAACCAGCCAAGUAGCGUGAAGGAUGAAGGCUCUAUGGGUCGUAAACUUCUUUUAUAUAAGAAUAAAGUGCAGUAUGUAUACUGUUUUGUAUGUAUUAUAUGAAUAAGGAUCGGCUAACUCCGUGCCAGCAGCCGCGGUAAUACGGAGGAUCCGAGCGUUAUCCGGAUUUAUUGGGUUUAAAGGGAGCGUAGGUGGACUGGUAAGUCAGUUGUGAAAGUUUGCGGCUCAACCGUAAAAUUGCAGUUGAUACUGUCAGUCUUGAGUACAGUAGAGGUGGGCGGAAUUCGUGGUGUAGCGGUGAAAUGCUUAGAUAUCACGAAGAACUCCGAUUGCGAAGGCAGCUCACUGGACUGCAACUGACACUGAUGCUCGAAAGUGUGGGUAUCAAACAGGAUUAGAUACCCUGGUAGUCCACACAGUAAACGAUGAAUACUCGCUGUUUGCGAUAUACAGUAAGCGGCCAAGCGAAAGCAUUAAGUAUUCCACCUGGGGAGUACGCCGGCAACGGUGAAACUCAAAGGAAUUGACGGGGGCCCG